rnacentral:rRNA from 1 species
UUUGAUCCUGGCUCAGAUUGAACGCUGGCGGCAGGCCUAAGACAUGCAAGUCGAACGGUAACGACACUAGCUUGCUAGUGGUCGACGAGUGGCGGACGGGUGAGUAACGCGUAGGAAUCUACCUAGUAGUGGGGGAUAGCCAAGGGAAACUUUGGGUAAUACCGCAUACGAUCUAAGGAUGAAAGGGGGCCUCUCUUUGAAGCUCUCGCUAUUAGAUGAGCCUGCGUAAGAUUAGCUUGUUGGUGGGGUAGUGGCCCACCAAGGCGACGAUCUUUAGCUGGUCUGAGAGGAUGAUCAGUCACACUGGAACUGAGACACGGUCCAGACUCCUACGGGAGGCAGCAGUCGGGAAUAUUGGACAAUGGGGGAAACCCUGAUCCAGCCAUGCCGCGUGUGUGAAGAAGGCCCUAGGGUUGUAAAGCACUUUUAGUAGUGAGGAAGGCUCAGUAGUUAAUACCUACUGGGAUUGACGU